UACGGGGGGGCAAGCGUUGUUCGGAAUUACUGGGCGUAAAGGGCUCGUAGGUGGCCAACUAAGUCAGACGUGAAAUCCCUCGGCUUAACCGGGGAACUGCGUCUGAUACUGGAUGGCUUGAGUUCGGGAGAGGGAUGUAGAAUUCCAGGUGUAGCGGUGAAAUGCGUAGAUAUCUGGAGGAAUACCGGUGGCGAAGGCGGCAUCCUGGACCAUAACUGACGCUGAGGCGCGAAGGCUAGGGGAGCAAACGGG
rnacentral:rRNA from 1 species